CACCCCUAGUUCAGAAAGGGAGGUAUGAGGUGGAAAUGAGGCGUGUAGCGUAGUAAUUCCAUGCGCCCAAAGAGCUUUGAUCCCAACCGAAAUUGCACAGAAGAAAUUUAAAGCAUCAGAGUUUCGUUCACUCCUUUGUUCCCUCAUGUUCGUGUUUCUCUCUUAAGAGAGCUCUCGCCGCCGUUUUACUCCGCCGCGGCGGAGGCGGCGAAGUUGGCUAUCCUAAAAAAUUACCACCACCAAAUUGAACCUUUCUAUGUCCUUUCUCUUAUUCUUGUGCCCAAUCUUCCUAAAACCCUACUAGCCUCUCAAAUCGAGACAAAAACACUACGAACCCUAACUGCAAAUUCGAAAAUUAAACAUAGACGGAGGGGAAUCCGAGCCAGCCACCAGAGGGAUUUGAUUCCCCUCAAUAUGGAAACUAAAUUAGAGCAAGGAGAAUAAGAGUGGAGAGGUUGUGUUGAAUUGCAAAGAGAGUUCAGAGAGUGAGGGUGAUGAGUGCUGUGAAAUUUCAGAAAAACGAUUGUGAUUUGUGGAGUGUUUUUGCAGAAAAUGAUUGUUGAAGAUGAUUGAACGAGUAUGGAUGGACUUAUAUAGAGUGUGAUCUCUAACCGUUUCGGGAUCUGGUAGUUGAAGGUUUGGGAACCGUUAACUGUUAGUGAAUUCAAAGAAGGAGUUAGUUGUGAAGGGCUGGUACAUGGAAGGAACAAGACUUUGGCAUGGCAUGGAAUGUGGAGAAGUCUUGGACAACAUCAAGAAAUUAUGAAGAAUUUGGAGGCUACACAAAUGGGAUGAAGAAAAUAUAGGAUGGGGUGUAAGAUUAGAUAGUUGACUUUGGUCAACUGUUUGACCAGAAAGUCAAUUCUUGACCAAAAACAAUUAUAGGUCAAAAGAUGUAAUUUGUAUAGACUUUCAUGAUUUGGAUUUUGUAAUAUGGUUUGAUGACUUGUAAUGAAAAAUGCUCUUUUUGAAUGAA